rnacentral:rRNA from 1 species
AAUCAACGCUGGCGGCGUGCCUAACACAUGCAAGUCGAACGAGAAAGUGGAGCAAUCCAUGAGUACAGUGGCGACCGGGUGAGUAACACGUGACUAACCUACCCUCGAGUGGGGGAUAACUCCGGGAAACCGGGGCUAAUACCGCAUAACAUCGCUUGGUGAAAUUCCUUGUGAUCAAAGGAGCAAUUCGUUUGAGGAGGGAGUCGCGUCUGAUUAGCUAGUUGGUGAGGUAACGGCCCACCAAGGCGAUGAUCAGUAGCCGGCCUGAGAGGGCGGACGGCCACACUGGAACUGAAACACGGUCCAGACUCCUACGGGAGGCAGCAGUGGGGAAUUUUGCGCAAUGGGGGAAACCCUGACGCAGCAACGCCGCGUGGAGGAUGAAGUCCUUUGGGAUGUAAACUCCUUUCGACCGGGAAGAUUAUGACGGUGCCGGAGGAAGAAGCACCGGCUAACUCUGUGCCAGCCGCCGCAGUAAAAC